UAGGGAAUCUUCCGCAAUGGACGAAAGUCUGACGGAGCAACGCCGCGUGAGUGAAGAAGGAUUUCGGUUCGUAAAACUCUGUUGUUAGGGAAGAAAAAAUGUAUAGUAACUAUAUACAAAAGAGACGGUACCUAACCAGAAAGCCACGGCUAACUACGUGCCAGCAGCCGCGGUAAUACGUAGGUGGCAAGCGUUGUCCGGAAUUAUUGGGCGUAAAGCGCGCGCAGGUGGUUUAGAAAGUCUGAUGUGAAAGCCCACGGCUCAACCGUGGAGGGUCAUUGGAAGCAAAUAAACUUGAGUGCAGGAGAGAAAAGUGGAAUUCCUAGUGUAGCGGUGAAAUGCGUAGAGAUUAGGAGGAACACCGGUGGCGAAAGCGGCUUUUUGGCCUGCAACUGACACUGAGGAGCGAAAGAGUGGGGAGCAAACAGG
rnacentral:rRNA from 1 species